GACGAACGCUGGCGGCGUGCUUAACACAUGCAAGUCGAACGGAAAGGCCCUGAUUUUGCGGGGUGCUCGAUUGGCGAACGGGUGAGUAACACGUGUGUAACCUGUCCUUGUAUUUGUGAUAACAUCUGGAAACUGGGGCUCAUACCGGAUAGAAGCUCCUGCUGCAUGGUGUGGGUUGGAAAGUUUCGGCGGUUUGGGAUGGACUCGCGGCUUAUCAGCUUGUUGGUGGGGUAGUGGCUUACCAGGGCUUUGAAGGGUAGCCGGCCUGAGAGGGUGACCGGCCACAUUGGGACUGCGAUACGGCCCAGACUCCUACGGGAGGCAGCAGUGGGGAAUAUUGCACAAUGGGCGGAAGCCUGAUGCAGCAACGCCGCGUGCGGGAUGACGGCCUUCGGGUUGUAAACCGCUUUCGCCUGUGACGAAGCGUGAGUGACGGUAAUGGGUAAAGAAGCACCGGCUAACUACGUG
rnacentral:rRNA from 1 species